UAGGGAAUAUUGCACAAUGGGCGAAAGCCUGAUGCAGCAACGCCGCGUGCACGAUGAAGGUCUUCGGAUCGUAAAGUGCUUUUCUGGGAGAUGAGAAUGGACAGUAUCCCAGGAAUAAGUCUCGGCUAACUACGUGCCAGCAGCCGCGGUAAAACGUAGGAGGCAAGCGUUAUCCGGAUUCACUGGGCGUAAAGCGCGUGCAGGCGGUUCGGUAAGUUGGGCGUGAAAUCUCCUGGCUUAACUGGGAGAGGCCGUCCAAUACUACCGGACUAGAGAGCAGUAGAGGAAGAUGGAAUUCCCGGUGUAGUGGUGAAAUGCGUAGAUAUCGGGAGGACACCAGUGGCGAAGGCGAUCUUCUGGACUGUUUCUGACGCUCAGACGCGAAAGCUAGGGUAGUAACGGGAUUAGAGACCCCGGUAAUCCUAGCCGUAAACGAUGUGAACUUGGCGUCGGUGGCUUAAACACCAUCGGUGCCGCAGCAAACGCGAUUAAG
rnacentral:rRNA from 1 species